ACGAACGCUGGCGGCAUGCUUAACACAUGCAAGUCGAACGAGAAAGUUCCUUCGGGGACGAGUAAAGUGGCGCACGGGUGAGUAACGCGUAGAUAACCUGUCCUGAUGUGCGGGAUAACCCACCGAAAGGUGGACUAAUACCGUAUAAUCUGGUUUUUCAUAAGGGAGAUCGGGAAAGAUGGCCUCUAUUUAUAAGCUAUCGCAUUUUGAGGGGUCUGCGUACCAUUAGCUAGUUGGUGAGGUAAUAGCUUACCAAGGCUAUGACGGAUACCUGGUCUGAGAGGAUGAUCAGGCACAAUGGAACUGAGACACGGUCCAUACUCCUACGGGAGGCAGCAGUGAGGAAUCUUCCACAAUGGACGAAAGUCUGAUGGAGCGACACCGCGUGAAGGAUGAAGGCCUAACGGUUGUAAACUUCUUUUCUGAAGGAGCAUAAUGAGAGUACUUCAGGAAUAAGGGACGGCUAAAUACGUGCCAGCAGCCGCGGUAAUACGUAUGUCUCAAGCGUUACCCGGAAUUACUGGGUGUAAAGGGUUCGUAGGUGGUUAGAAAAGUUGGAUAUGAAAGACCGGAGCUUAACUCCGUGUUGGUGUUCAAAACUGUUUAACUAGAAUCAGGGAGAGGUAAGUGGAAUUCUGUGUGUAGGGGUGCAAUCCGUAGAUACACAGAGGAACACCAAAAGCGAAGGCAACUUACUGGAACUGUAUUGACGCUCAUGAACGAAAGCGUGGGUAGCGAAAAGGAUUAGAUACCCUUGUAGUCCACGCCCUAAACGAUGAUAACUAAGUGUUGCGACUAGCUUGCAGUGCUGAAGCUAACGCGUUAAGUUAUCCACCUGAGGAGUACGGUCGCAAGAUUAAAACUCAAAGGAAUAGACGGGGACCCACACAAGCAGUGGAUCACGUGGUUUAAUUCGACAAUAAACGGGGAACCUUACCCAGACUUGACAUCCUAGGAAUCUUUCAGAGAUGAGAGAGUGCUUUUAUUAGAACCUAGUGACAGGUGCUGCAUGGUUGUCGUCAGCUCGUGCCUUGAGGUGUUCGGUUAAGUCCGUUAACGAGCGCAACCCAUGUCUUUAGUUAUUAUGUCUAAAGAGACUGCCUUGGUUAACAAGGAGGAAGGUGUGGAUGACGUCAAAUCAGCAUGGCUUUUACGUCUGGGGCUACACACAUGAUACAAUGGUAUGUACAAAGAGUAGCAAAAUAGUGAUAUUGAGCUAAUCUUAAAAGCAUAUCUCAGUCCGGAUUGGAGUCUGAAACUCGACUCCAUGAAGUUGGAAUUGCUAGUAAUCGUGAAUCAGAUAUGUCANCGGUGAAUACGAUCGCUGGGUCUUGUACUCAC
rnacentral:rRNA from 1 species